GGCGGCGGCCUGUAACGGACGCCGAAAUUCCUGAGGCUACCGGGGACCGGGCGCCCUACGCGGGGUCCCGCCGGCGGUGCUCCCGCGUCCCAGCGCCCAGCUCCGGAGCCACAGCCCGGCGUUUCCGGCGAGAGUGCCACCUGAUUGCAUCGGCAGUGCCAACUAGGAAUCUGGAAGCAUCCUGGCCUCCUGACUCAUUUCUGUGAAGGCUCAGGCCCUCUGCAUCUCCGCCUGCCCGAGUUCUCGCAGCCCCGGAAGUCUGACUGCUUGUGUUCUCUCCUCCUGAGCUCCACUUAGCUCCCGCUUCUACGAGGAGGCUCCCCUUCUCAUCACACCCUCGCU